CACAACCCAAAACAUAUAAGGAAGAAUUAUUUAAAAAACAAAUUAACAUUAAUGAUUUGGUUAUAUUCUCCAGCAACAAAAAACAAAUGCCACACAAAUGAAGGUGGAUGAAUAACAAUAAUUAAAGUCAAUGAUACAUCAUAUAUGGGAGAAGCUGCUCGAACUUCUCCAUGGCCGGAGCCGGCAAUCCGAGCAGCAACACAUUGAUAGUCUUCAUUUCUCUACCAUGAGAGAGAAACAGUACAACCUCCUUUUAGUGUCCAUAAGCAAUCUGGAAACAACAUUUACAGAAAGGAGACCUAAAAAGAGUGUUAAUGGUAGUACCCAUUCACCUUUCCAUGCAUAACAUAUGACAAAGCAGUGCCAUCAGGGAGCAGAUCUUCCGCUAAAACAGAUUUAUGCAUUCUCAAAUCCCUGCAAAGUGGAAACACUAGAAUCAACAUUAUAAUUCAGACAACUCUACUAUACACAUGCAUAAUUUGAUGAUUGCCAGCAAUUGUGAUUCCAAAGAAAUUGCAUAGCAGUAGCACAGAAUCAAAUGGUACUCACUUCCGUGUCAGCUUCCCCUGACUCUUCACUUGAGGUUGACUAUUUGAAGAAAUUUGAACACUAUCUAGAACUUCAGGCAGACAACUAGAAGAAAUAGGAGCUGGUGAACCAGCCAAAGGAGACCUAAAAUUAUCAUCAUACAAUACCAUAUCAAUAAACACACAAAACAAGAUAAAAACAACUGGCUAAUAGGAUAUGCUGAUUGUGUAGAUGUCCCACAGAUGUAAACUAACAGGAGAAGUAAUUAACUCUCAAGCCUAUCUGCCUCAAGUUAAACAUUUCGCCUAGACCAAUUUUCUUCUCCAGGAGCGCCACCGGCCCCAACAGCACUCGAACGACAGCCUCGUCAGCUCCUCCCCCUAGACCACCACCGUGCCCAAUGCCACCUCCAUGACAUAAUCCACCACCAGCGCCGCCUCCUAAACCGCCUCCUCCACUAGCUCCACCCCCCAAACUGCCUCCUCCUCCUAGACCACCA
rnacentral:lncRNA from 1 species